CUGGGGCGGCUCAGCCCCACUGUUGCCGGGGCCCGUGGCUCCCGCACCGCCGAGUCACGAACUCUGCCGGCACUCAGCCUAGGGGAGGGGUUUCUUGGCCCCGGGAGCUCGUUUGCAUGCGAGGAGGUGCGGCGGCCGCAGCAGCGUGGUGCCAGCCGCUGGUCACUGAUGAUGUGGAUGUGCUGAGGAGCUGAGGCUCCCUCUGUUCCUGUGCAUGGGAGGUAGAGGGCUGCCUGCCUGCCUGGAGCUCUGCCUCUCUCCUAGCGGCACAAAGCGGCAGCUGCUGGCCAUUUCCUCGCAGCUUCCCUGCUGCACCGGGCAGCCCGGGCUGGGACGCGCGGAGGCGACUGGGCGCCUCGCACCGCAGCAGCAGAUACAUUUAGGAUUUGACUCUGAGAGACACUUCAUCACCAAAGUGAACAUUGGCAGCAAAGACAGUUUUUGGAAACGACAUCCAUUCAUGUGAUUAAAGGUUUUGCCUAGAGGGAUUCUCUAUGUUUUGAAUCUGAUUACCCUGUAAGGUAUUUACCAUCCUGAUUUUACAGAG